GUAGGUGGCAAGCGUUGUCCCGAAUUAUUGGGCGUAAAGCGCGCGCAGGGGCGGUCCCUUUAAGUCUGAUGUGAAAGGCCCACGGCUCAAACCGUGGAGGGUCAUUGGAAACUGGGGGACUUGAGUACAGAAGAGGAAAGCGGAAUUCCAAGUGUAGCGGUGAAAUGCGUAGAGAUUUGGAGGAACACCAGUGGCGAAGGCGGCUUUCUGGUCUGUAACUGACGCUGAGGCGCGAAAGCGUGGGGAGCAAACAGGAUUAGAUACCCUGGUAGUCCACGCCGUAAACGAUGAGUGCUAAGUGUUAGGGGGUUUCCGCCCCUUAGUGCUGCAGCUAACGCAUUAAGCACUCCGCCUGGGGAGUACGGCCGCAAGGCUG
rnacentral:rRNA from 1 species